UUGCCAAUGUCAGAGAAAAUGAAAAGUCUGCCACUCCAAAUAUAGUAGCAAAGGCUGCAAGCCCCAGGCUUGUAUCUCUAGGCUUGCCAUGCCAGUGCCUGUGUGCUGUACAUGUAAGCAUGGAUGUUUUGCUUUUUGCCUAGCUAUGGGGAUAAUCUGAAAAGCACUUCUUGCUUUUCAACCUCCUUACAUGCAUAUGGACUGCUUUUUACAGUCCAGGUUUUACACCCCAGGUGUACAUAAUGCCUCUGUCUUGUUUAAUACAGGUAUGGAAUUUGCAAGUGUUCGAAUGGGCUUUCUCCACACGAUGGAUGGAGUGAGUUCCUACUGGAUUGGGCUCUGCAUGCAAUCUGCUGGACUGGUAAGCAUGGUACUCCAUACCCGAGUAAGGAUGUGCACUAACAUCAUGAAACCCCUCUGGCUUUGGAGGGUGACCCUCAUGAUACAUAAGGAAAAUAGGAGUUGUUUGGGGUUUUUAAUUCUACAGAGUUACAUGUGUCUCAAAGCUUCUCCCAUUUCACUUUCCUGAUAGGUCUCCAUUGCUAAUAAAGGACUGGAUACAGUUAUUAAAGGAAGGGAAAUUUUUGUUGACCUCUUUGAUUUUCUGAUGGUCAGGAAGGAUCAGCACUGGCUAUUUAAGGAAAGAGGCCAUCUGUGAAUGCACAGUCUCCUGCUCCUGGACACGCAGCUGAACACCGGAAUGGGCUUUUCUGGGCACUGAUGUGCAGCAAGUGUCAUUGGAGCGAAAAGCACUUUCUCCUCCCUGAUCCUCGUCAUGUAUCUUCCUGGAGAAGAAAAAAAAUACGUGGGCUGGGGAAACUGUACUGCUGCCUGAAAUCUCAUCUAUCUGGAUGCUUACCAUGAUGACAAAUCGAUGAAGGAAGAGGAUCUUUUUUCAUCGUUAGUAAUAGCACAGUCCUGGCCAGAUGCAAGGGAAAAAAUAAGAGUCCCUCAUUAGAAGGUUUGACCAACCCCCUGAAAGAUUAUAUUAAGCUCUUUUCAAGGGCUUAUGUCUUAUUUUAGCAAGUCACACACUCAGAUGCCCAGCUGCCCCCCCACUCACACGAAGCAGGGUGGGUCAGAUUACUUCCCAUGCCAAAAUGGGAGUAACCUAUUGGCUACAGAAAGCAUUUGGGAAUGCAGUUAUGCAGAACAGUCAGUGACAGGCUUUCUGUGGCAUGGCUCUUCAGUUCAUGGAGCAUUCAAACUCUACAGUUGGCCUUGGUUUUUGCUAUUACAUCUUCAUCUUUAGGAUGGGUCUCAGAUACCCCUUUUGUGCAUGCAUUCCUCU